rnacentral:rRNA from 1 species
AAACCAACAGGGAUUGCCCUAGUAACGGCGAGUGAAGCGGCAACAGCUCAAAUUUGAAAUCUGGCCUUCGGGUCCGAAUUGUAAUUUGCAGAGGAUGCUUUUGGCGCGGUGCCUUCCGAGUUCCCUGGAACGGGACGCCUUAGAGGGUGAGAGCCCCGUACGGUUGGACACCAAGCCUCUGUAAAGCUCCUUCGACGAGUCGAGUAGUUUGGGAAUGCUGCUCUAAAUGGGAGGUAAAUUUCUUCUAAAGCUAAAUACCGGCCAGAGACCGAUAGCGCACAAGUAGAGUGAUCGAAAGAUGAAAAGCACUUUGAAAAGAGGGUUAAAUAGCACGUGAAAUUGUUGAAAGGGAAGCGUUUACGGCCAGACCUUUUCCUGGCCGAUCAUCUGGCGUUCUCGCCAGUGCACUCCGCCAGGUUUAGGCCAGCAUCGGCUUCCGUAGGGGGAUAAAAGCAGUGGGAAAGUAGCUCUCUCGGGAGUGUUAUAGCCCUAAGCAUAAUACCCUUACGGGGGCCGAGGACCGCGCUUUUGCAAGGAUGCUGGCGUAAUGGUCGUCAACGACCCGUCUUGA